GUUGGUGAACCAGCGGAGGGAUCAUUACCGAGUGUUCUACUCACCAACCAUUGUGUAUCUACCUAUAUUGGCUUCUCCGGCAGGCGGUUCCAGGGCGGAAUCGAGCCUAACAGCACCUGCCGAAGGGGCAAACCACUGCUCUAAACGUAUUGUCUGAGUACCAAAAAAAACAAAUUAUCAAAAUUUUCAAUUGUGGAUCUCUUGGUUCUG
rnacentral:misc_RNA from 1 species